UCCUUUUCAGACUUACUACCCCCUAGCCAAUUAUACUCCAUUUUGUAGUUGUGCAUUGAAUUUUUCCUUUCUAAAUGAAGAACUUAGCAUUUGUCUGUAUUGAAUUUCAUCUUGUUGAUUUCAGACCAAUUCGCCAAUCCGUCAAGGUCAUUUUGAACUCUCAUCCUGUGCCCCGAAGUGCUUGCAACCCUGUUCCAGUUCGGUGCCGUCCGUAAAUUUUAUAAGCAUACUCUUCACUCCAUUAUCCAAGUCAUUGAUGAAAAUACUGAAUAGUACCAGACCCAGGACUGAGCCCCAUGAGACUUCAUUAGAUACCCCUUCCCAGUUUGAGAGCGAACCAUGGAUAACUACUCGUAAACAAGUGAUGAUUCAGCAGAAAGGCUUGAGGGCAAAGGCACCUGGAGCCAAGCUGGGGAACAGUAGCCGCAUUCUGUUCGGGGCGUCAGUGGGACAGGGAGCCUGAACUGCAGGGAUGAGAAGGGCCAGGACUGCAUCGAGCAAGACGUCCAAACACAAGGUGCUUCUGUCUCACGUUGGCGAGGAUGCCAGGCCGCUCGCAGGCAAAAAUAAAAUCGAUGGAGCUUCCAGCUAGGAGGAGAAACACCUGAAAGCACACGAGCACCUGUCCUUGAGAGAUCCCCAGCCUGAAUGUACACACCGACGGAGAGGAGCGGGAUCCAAACUUUCAGCUGAUUCUCCAAAGCAGGAAACCUUUAGACGCUCUCCCAUUGUCACAAUGAAGGCCUGAUCCUGCCCCCCCGGGGAGCUUGGGGGAAGCGGGAGCAGGCCCCAAAGAUCACAUGGCCCCAAAGAUAAUGGCCUAGGGGAAAAAACGUUUGCAGGGGAAGAAAAAGGAACCAUUUUUGAGGCUGUUUAGGGUUCCAGGUUCCAGAAGGACUGGUUCCACACAUUUCUUCUUGACGUCACUGGGAGGAGGCACUUGGCUCCUCUGACAGGCCCCACUGGUGUUUCGAUGAUUAUUACCUGUUAUCAUAUCAUCAUACCUAUUAUCAUAGUAUCUCUGGGCCCCAGUCCCGGAGAAGGAUGCCCCUAUGCAAAGGGCUGUAUCAACACAGAACAAAAACAGGGUCCCUGCCCUAAGGCGCUUACUGUCUAAGCGGCCACUCAAAAUCAGUGGCUGCUUUUGAAAACAGCCUCAUUAGCUUGGCUUAAUCACUCGGCAAGUUCCUUCUUUAAUGUUUAAACUAGCAUUGAUCUGUACAAGAUGUAAUCGAGGUGCCCUAAUUGCAUAAACUGCGUAUUUUGGGUUUGUUUUUUUCUUAUACUGUGUCAUCAUGGCAGACCAGAUCAACAGCUCUGUGUUGAGGGGAAGGAUGGUCUUGUCUGGAUUCAACACCCAUUUCUGCCGCAGGCUCCCUGUGUCAUCUUAGACCAGUCAUUUAAAGGAUGGAAUUUCUGCUGGUGCUGUAGAUUCUCAGCACUUCUGAUAACCAGGCCCUUAACUCUGUCCCCUCCACCCCCAUCUGUAUAGGGACUAGGGAUAACACCAUUUCCUUUCUGCCUUGUCUAUUUAGACUGUAAGCUCUUUGGAACAAGGACUAUCUAAUACUGUGUGUCUGUCCAGCGCCUAUUACAUACAAUAGGGCCCCUGUCUCUCAGUGCUAGCAUAGUAAUAAAUUGCUACACAUGGACAUACAUUUAUACACCGGUAAACAGAGCUGCCCCCUGAACUGGGUUGUAUCCUUGGCGCAAACUCCGAGUGAACUUCUACAGCUGAGUUUAAAUCCGCCCCUGAGAACAUGGGUUUGUGCUGACAUGACCUUAACCGCAGGGGCACAAGUGAGAUUACAUAGUGGUGAAUCCCUGAAUCAGAAAAUUAAAGGUGAGGCCUCAGCUGAUAAGAAUUUUGUUCCCAGCUGCUCCUUACCAUUUCCCCAGUUCUCCCAACACGCUCUCCCUGCGGAGGCUGGCCUCCCGGCUCUUCCCCCAGGCAUGAUUUGUUAGAAUGGCAUCUCUCCCGUCGUCAAAGAGACAAGAAGAUACAAUAGCCCCUGGGGUGGGCGGGUGUGUUUCCAAACUGUCAUGAGACUAGUGUUCGAGAGGGUGCAGUCUUGCCAGACCCUAACUGUCUGGGCCCCACCCCUCUAAAAGGCCCCAUCUUCAGUUCAACCCUGUCCAAAGCCCACUGCAGCCAACAGAAGUCUUUCAAGCCCAGAGCCAGGGAAUCCAGUUACAACCAAUGAUUGUCCCCUGAUCUUUUUGCAACUUUUAGCCUACUUGUAGCUGGACUAAACUAUUAUUUAUCAUACAGUAGCAGAGAGAGAGACCUCCAGCCAAGAUCCAGGCCCCAUUGUGUUAGGUGCUGUAAAUACCCCAAGUAAGAGACAGUUCCUGCCCUGAAGAGC